CCUAACAGUUAGAAAGUUGUACUUUUGAGGUUUGAGUCCCAUUACUGGCACAGAUUGUUGGUGCGGGAUUGACUAAGCUAAGCCUGGUCAGUGCCUGGAUGGGAGACCACAUGGGAAAAACUAGGUUGCUGUUGGAA
rnacentral:rRNA from 1 species